rnacentral:rRNA from 1 species
GACGAACGCUGGCGGCGUGCCUAAUACAUGCAAGUCGAGCGCAGGAAACUGACGGAACUCUUCGGAGGGAAGGCAGUGGAAUGAGCGGCGGACGGGUGAGUAACACGUAAGGAACCUGCCUCAAGGAUUGGGAUAACUCCGAGAAAUCGGAGCUAAUACCGGAUAGUUCAACGGACCGCAUGGUCCGCUGAUGAAAGGCGCUCCGGCGCCACCUUGAGAUGGCCUUGCGGUGCAUUAGCUAGUUGGUGGGGUAACGGCCCACCAAGGCGACGGUGCAUAGCCGACCUGAGAGGGUGAUCGGCCACACUGGGACUGAGACACGGCCCAGACUCCUACGGGAGGCAGCAGUAGGGAAUCUUCCACAAUGGACGAAAGUCUGAUGGAGCAACGCCGCGUGAGUGAUGAAGGUUUUCGGAUCGUAAAACUCUGUUGUAAGGGAAGAACACGUACGAGAGGAAAUGCUCGUACCUUGACGGUACCUUACGAGAAAGCCACGGCUAACUACGUGCCAGCAGCCGCCGUAAAAC